rnacentral:rRNA from 1 species
GAUGAACGCUGGCGGCGUGCCUAAUACAUCCAAGUCGAGCGAACAGACGAGGAGCUUGCUCCUCUGACGUUAGCGGCGGACGGGUGAGUAACACGUGGAUAACCUACCUAUAAGACUGGGAUAACUUCGGGAAACCGGAGCUAAUACCGGAUAAUAUAUUGAACCGCAUGGUUCAAUAGUGAAAGACGGUUUUGCUGUCACUUAUAGAUGGAUCCGCGCCGCAUUAGCUAGUUGGUAAGGUAACGGCUUACCAAGGCGACGAUGCGUAGCCGACCUGAGAGGGUGAUCGGCCACACUGGAACUGAGACACGGUCCAGACUCCUACGGGAGGCAGCAGUAGGGAAUCUUCCGCAAUGGGCGAAAGCUUGACGGAGCAACGCCGCGUGAGUGAUGAAGGUCUUCGGAUCGUAAAACUCUGUUAUUAGGGAAGAACAAAUGUGUAAGUAACUAUGCACGUCUUGACGGUACCUAAUCAGAAAGCCACGGCUAACUACGUG